GGCCCCAUGGUCCAACUGGCUAUGACGCUUCCCCUUGGUAAAAUUGCACAGCAGGAAUGGUUCUGGGAGAGAUGCAUGUUCAACUCAUGCUGGGGCCU